rnacentral:rRNA from 1 species
AAUCGCGGAUCAGAAUGCCGCGGUGAAUACGUUCCCGGGUCUUGUACACACCGCCCGUCACACCAUGGGAGUCAGUAACGCCCGAAGUCAGUGACCCAACCGGAACAGGAGGGAGCUGCCGAAGGUGGGACCGAUAACUGGGGUGAAGUCGUAACAAGGUAAC